GCGGGCUCGGGCGGGGCCGGGGCCUCCGCCUGAUCGCUCUCCGGGGGCGGGCUCCUGUAGACGGAGAGGUUCUCCGACUGAAUGGAUGGAACUGCCGUCCAAGGAGAAAGCCCAAGGGACUCCUGUCAACCAAUGGACAUAAUUCUCCACCAACAUCUGAUUACCUGGACAUCUAAGGCAACAAAAAACCCAAAUUCAGACACCUGAGUCAUGCUGUAAACUCUCCUACAUAUUAAUUCAUAAUCAAUAAACAAUAAACACAGAUUAUAA